AAUCAAUAUCUUUACAACCGAACAUUUCGUUGGAACACAGUCGUAGAUAUCUUCCUAUAUGUUUUUCUCUCUUUGGAUUUAUAAAUAGUUUCAAGCUCUCAACCAGAGUGGCCUGCCCGGUCUGACGAUGCCUGGAAAACUACACGUACGGUACGGGCCCUACCAAAGAUGAAACGGGGUUUACCACUCGGACGGACCCAUUGCCCCACUUGUUCAUUCGCUAUCGGGAGCGGGGUUCGUGGUAGUUCCGGUCCGAGUAGGGCGGCGGGAUGCGUGCGAGAUCUACGCCGGAAAUCAGCGUGUCUGGGCCUGCAACAUUACUCAGCUCCUUAAUGCGGCUGUAAGCAAGUCCGCACUCAUAGAGGACGCCGUGGCCGCCUGUAUAAAUCGCGCUAAGACUGGCGGCAAACAGUAGCAUCAUGCAGCACCGGCACACCAUACAUACAUGUUUCCUUCUUCUUUGAUUGUUUUGGAAUUAAGAUGCUUUAAAAUGUGACAGUAAAGAUUUUUAUUUUGCAUUUGGUACUUUAACUGAGGGAAUUAUGAAAAAAUAAUAUUAUUUAUUUCACAGCACACACCUUGAGAUAUUCGUAGUUCUAUUUAAGUUUUUUUAUUAAAAAGAAAACAAUUGACCUUCGGCAUCGAUCUGAAAUUAAUUAAAUCUAAACAAUCCUGACAGUUUUAAGAGGAAUUCGUACAUUUAUUGUAAAAUACCUUAGUCAUGUAACGAUAAGAUAAGUCUAUGAAGCAUCGGUCUGAAAAUAAAAAAGACAGAUGUGGAUCUCUGUUGUCUUAUCAAAUAUCGACUAUUUUUGUAAAUAUACAUCAUAAGAGAUGUUUAAGCAUUUUCUUCUUGAAACAUCGCAUGCACAUUUUGUUCAAUAAAAUAUACAACAUUUA